CUUUUAAAAUUUGGAAAGCAUAAAAAAUUACUCCCUCCAUUUCACAAUAUAAGUUGUUUUGGACUAACUUUUUUGUUUCACAAUAUAAAUUGUUUUCAAGUUUCUAUGCAAAUUAUAUAUUAUUUUAAUAUUUUAUGAUUAUUUCUAUUAUGCAGUCUCUUUUAUAAUUGGUUGAAGUUUUUAAAAGUAAAUAUUCUUAAUUUGUGUGCUUUUAGCUAAAACAACUUAUAUUGUGAAAACGGAGGGAGUAUGUAAACUGGAAUCCAAGAGAAUUCCAUGGAAGUGAGAGCUUUUCUUUGC
rnacentral:sRNA from 1 species